GCGCGCGCGUGAGCGAGCGGGACACAGUUCUUUGCAAACUUGGGGGAAAGGAGAGGGGAGCGUCGUUGUUGUUGCUGCUGCUGCAGCUGUCAAGAGGAAGAAAGGGAGAAGAAGGGAAGCCAAGGAGACAAAGGGCAGGGCGAGGCUUUGCAAGGAGGAAAAAAAAGGAGAGAGAGAGAGAGAGAGAGGUGGAGCCUGGAAUCCUUGGGGGAAAGCAGAAGGAAGGACAUGCAAGGAAAAGUUGCGCCAGGAUUGUAUUAUUUCAUUUCACUCCGCCAAAUGCUAAGAGAAGGAAGAAGCAACAAGAAGAAGUAAACCCAACUUCUCUUUGCUUGGACCAGGAAGGUGGAUUUCUGCCUCUGGGUGCAUCAACACUGUGGAAUUAACGCGGUUUGGCACAGCUUUAACUGCCCUGGCUCAAUGCCAUGGGAUCCUAGGAUUUGUAGUUUAGGGAGACGCCAGCACUCUUUGGCAGAGAAGGCUCAAGACCUUGGGAAACUACAACUCCCAGGAUGCCAUGACAUUCAAAGUGUUGUCAAACUGCAUUCCUGCAGUGUGGAUGCACCCCAGAGAAGACGCCGGAGAAGACGCUGAAGGGGAAAAGGGUCACGUUGGCAAACCUGACUAUUAUUGUUCCUUUGCUUUUAUUCCAGAGGGAGGACUAACCAUCCCACCCAAGCUCAGAGGACAUAAUGGGUGACACAGUGGCUUAGGUGUUGCAGCAGAAAAGGCAGGCACAUGCCAUCUGAUUGACUGGGAUUACUAUGGGCUGAAGCUUGACAACACUGAUCUAUUAAUGUAAGUGUCAUGGACUUGUUGCCCAUCCACCUUCAGAUGUUGAUGGCUUUUUCAUGUGAUGGUCUCCUCAAAGCUGCUCCUCCUCUAUUUUUGCCUACAGACAAAACUCUGGCUUUCCAAGAGGCAAAAUAACCUAUUGUUCCCUAGUGUGGUGAAUUUAUCUUCUUUAUUUUCUCCUUACAGCUGCUUAUGAGCUUUGGUACUUGGCUUGCAUUUGAUCCUGAAGAAUUCCAAGUGACAGGUAAUGUAAACAUCCUACACUCUCAGCUGUGUAGAUAAGAAGAAAGCUGGGAGAAGGCUGUUUACUCUCUCUGCCUUGGAAAGCAGCUGAAAGAAGAAAAAACAUGGAGAUCUUGCAAGCUCUUUUUAAACUCCUGUUCUAAACUGUAUUAAAAAUAUUAUUAUAUCUUUAAGAAAACUUUAAAAUAAUAAUAAUACACUUUAUUGAUAUUCCACUUUAACUCCCUGGAGGGACUCAGAGUGGAUUACAGUUUACACAUAUAUAAAGCAAACAUUCAGUGCCUUUUACAUGGUAAAAAAUGACAUGCAAUACACAGACAAAGGUGAAGGCCUCCCCAUUUCAUCUUAGUCAUCUGGAGGCGAUGGUCAACUCUGGCCAUGGGGAGGUGUUCUUUUUCCAUUUUUCCACGCUGAGAAGCCUGUUGUCCAUAGACAUCUCUAAUCGUAUUGCCAGCAUGUCUGCACCUUCCUGCUGAGGCGGUACUAAUUUAUCUACUCACAUUGCAUGCUUUCGAACUGCUAGGUUGGCAGAAGCUGGUGCUAACAGCGGGAGCUCACCUUUGAACUGUCAAUUCUCCAGUCAGCAGAUUUCCUGCAGCUAAUGGGUUAAUCUGCUGCACUACUGCAGCCCCACUGAAUGCGCAUUUUUAAACAAAUAUAACUGUAUGUGAAUAAAUGACAAGAGAAACAUCCUAAUCUUUUGCACCUGAUAAUCGGCCUUCUGAAAUGAACUAAAACUAAGGAGGAUGUAAAUUAAGGAAGAAAGUUCUCAACAGUUUUUACUGUUAUUUUGUUUGGGUACUAUUUUCUAUAUGCCAUUGACAGAAUCAUAAAUCAAAUUCUAAUUCAAAGUAGAGAACCCCUAUCGAAUCAAUGAGAACUUGGUAAAGCAACACAUUUGUAAAUUCCAUUAAUUAAUUGAACCAGCCCUGCUUUAGAGUAACAGUUUUAGAUUAAAUGAUAUAUUAUAGUUUGCAAAAACCACCCCACACUUAUGUAAUGAAUGUGGGAGAACGUUGUUUGUAGUUUUCUAGUAAGAGUAUAUUUGUAAAUAUAAUUCAUUUUUUAAAAAUUAUCUGUUAAUUUUUAUUUUAAAAAUGAUUUGUGAAACUAUUAUGUUGAAUCGUUUGUAACUCUUCUUGUUUAUAAAGCUGUGUGCUGAAGAUUUGAUGUUAUUUGCAUACCCUUUCAAGUUAGCAAUCUGAAAAUUUCUAUAAUAUUAGUUAUUUAUAAUUAAUGUAACUGUAAAUUAAUAAUUAUUCAGACUGAAACCAUUUACUUGUAAGACACUUGGUUACUUUUGUCUUUGGUUUGGCUUGAUAUGCCGUCUUUGAUAUGCUGUGAAGUUUUCCUUUGAAAUAAAAAAGUAAUUGUUUAA